rnacentral:rRNA from 1 species
AACGAACGCUGGCGGCGUGGAUUAGGCAUGCAAGUCGAACGAGAAUCUGAGAGUCCAAGUUUUCGGACAAGGACUUUUGGAGGAAAGUGGCGGAAGGGUGAGUACAACAUGGAUAAUCUACCUUCAAGUUGGGUAUAGCUUUCCGAAAGGAGAGAUAAUCCCGGAUGUGGUGAUCCGGCGCAUGCCGGAGACUCCAAAGGUGGGGACCGCAAGGCCUGCCGCUUGAAGAUGAGUCCGUGCACUAUCAGCUAGUCGGUGAGGUAAUGGCUCACCAAGGCUAUGACGGUUAGCUGGUCUGAGAGGAUGGUCAGCCACACUGGGACUGAGAUACUGCCCAGACUCCUACGGGAGGCUGCAGUCGAGAAUCAUUCGCAAUGGGCGAAAGCCUGACGGUGCGACGUCGCGUGGAGGAUGACGGUCUUCGGAUUGUAAACUCCUGUCAUGUGGGAUAAAUAGCCCGGGUGUGAAUAGCACUUGGGACUGAUAGUACCACAGGAGGAAGAGACGGCUAACUCUGUGCCAGCAGCCCGCGGUAAUUCAGAGGUCUCGAGCCGUUGUUCGGAUUUACUGGGCCGUAAAGGGAAGCGUAAGCCGGCCGGGUGUGUC